UGGUCAAGUUAUUAAGGGUGCAGGGCGGAUGCCUUGGCACUAGGAGCCGAUGAAGGACGUGAUAAGCUGCGAUAAGCUUCGGGGAGUUGCACGUAAACUUUGAUCCGAAGAUUUCCGAAUGAGGAAACUCACUUAGAGUAAUGUCUAAGUAUCAUUAAGUGAAUACAUAGCUUAAUGAGGGGAACUCAGGGAACUGAAACAUCUAAGUACCUGAAGGAAGAGAAAGAAAUUCGAUUCCGUAAGUAGCGGCGAGCGAACGCGGAUUAGCCCAAACCAAUAAAGUUUUCUUUAUUGGGGUUGCGGACAUAUCAUAACGAAGAGGUAUCGUAAUUGAAGAGGUUUGGAAAGACCCACCACAGAAGGUAAUAGUCCUGUAUGUUAAACGAGAAGACUUCAGAUAUGAUCCAGAGUACCACGGGACACGUGAAACCCUGUGGGAAGCAGGAGGGACCACCCUCCAAGGCUAAAUACUACCUAGUGACCGAUAGCGUAUAGUACCGUGAGGGAAAGGUGAAAAGAACCCCGGGAGGGGAGUGAAAUAGAACCUGAAACCCUGCACUUACAAGCUGUGGAAGCACAUUUCUUGUGUGACCGCGUACUUUUUGUAGAACGGGCCAACGAGUUACGUUAAGUAGCAAGGUUAAGCACUUAAGGUGUGGAGCCGUAGCGAAAGCGAGUUUUAACUGAGCGUUCAGUUACUUGACGUAGACCCGAAACCGGGCGACCUACCCAUGAGCAGGAUGAAGCGAAAGUAAAAUUUCGUGGAGGUCCGAACCCACGAGCGUUGAAAAGCUCGGGGAUGACUUGUGGGUAGCGGUGAAAUUCCAAUCGAGCCCGGAGAUAGCUGGUUCUCCCCGAAAUAGCUUUAGGGCUAGCCUCAAGGUGAGAGAUACGGAGGUAGAGCACUGAAUGUCCUAGGGGGUAUUGCACCUACCGAAGACUAUCAAACUCCGAAUGCCGUCAUCUUAUACUUGGGAGUCAGACUGUGGGUGAUAAGAUUCAUAGUCGAAAGGGCAACAGCCCAGAUCGUCAGCUAAGGUCCCUAAAUGUAAGUUAAGUGGUAAAGGAUGUGGGAUUGCACAGACAACCAGGAUGUUGGCUUAGAAGCAGCCACUCAUUCAAAGAGUGCGUAAUAGCUCACUGGUCGAGUGAUCCUGCGCCGAAGAUUUCCGGGGCUAAAACUUACUACCGAAGCUACGGCAUCAGUAAUGAUGGGUAGGGGAGCUUCCCAUACGGGUUGAAGCAUGACCGUAAGGACAUGUGGACAGUAUGGGAGUGAGAAUGUUGGCAUGAGUAGCGAGAUGUGGGUGAGAAUCCCACAGGCCGUAAACCCAAGGUUUCCAGGGGAAGGUUCGUCCGCCCUGGGUUAGUCGGGACCUAAGCUGAGGCCGAAAGGCGUAGGUGAUGGACAACAGGUUGAUAUUCCUGUACUACCGAUAACCGUUUGAGAGAAGGGAUGACACAGUAGGAUAAGCUAAGCACACUGUUGGUUAUGUGUGCCCAAGCAUUGAGGCAGUCAAAGUAGGCAAAUCCGCUUUGAUAAUGCUGGGAUGUGAUGGGGAGCGAAAUUUAGUAGCGAAGUAGCUGAUUUCACACUGUCAAGAAAAGUCUCUAUCGAGGUUAAAGGUACCCGUACCGCAAACCGACACAGGUGGGUGAGGAGAGUAUCCUAAGGCCAGCGAGAGAACUGUUGUUAAGGAACUCGGCAAAAUGACCCCGUAACUUAGGGAUAAGGGGUGCCACCAUCAGGUGGCCGCAGAGAAUAGGCCCAAGCGACUGUUUACCAAAAACAUAGGUUUCUGCUAAGUCGCAAGACGAUGUAUAGGAGCUGACGCCUGCCCGGUGCUGGAAGGUUAAGGGGAUCUGUUAGAGCAAUCGAAGCAGUGAACUUAAGCCCCAGUAAACGGCGGCCGUAACUAUAACGGUCCUAAGGUAGCGAAAUUCCUUGUCGGGUAAGUUCCGACCCGCACGAAAGGCGUAACGAUUUGGGCACUGUCUCAACAACAGACUCGGUGAAAUUGUAAUUCCGGUGAAGAUGCCGGAUACCUGCGACAGGACGGAAAGACCCCAUGGAGCUUUACUGUAGCUUGACAUUGGGUCUUGGUACUACAUGUACAGGAUAGGUGGGAGGCUUUGAAACCAGGACGCCAGUUUUGGCGGAGCCAUCCUUGGGAUACCACCCUUGUAGUACUGGGACUCUAACCAUAGGCCAUGAAUCUGGUCUUGGGACACUGUCAGGUGGGCAGUUUGACUGGGGCGGUCGCCUCCCAAAAGGUAACGGAGGCGCUCAAAGGUUCUCUCAGUACGGUCGGAAAUCGUACGUAGAGUGUAAAGGCAAAAGAGAGCUUGAUUGCAAGACAUACAGGUCGAGCAAGGAUGAAAAUCGGACUUAGUGAUCCGGUGGUUCUGCGUGGAAGGGCCAUCGCUCAACGGAUAAAAGCUACCCUGGGGAUAACAGGCUUAUCUCCCCCAAGAGUCCACAUCGACGGGGAGGUUUGGCACCUCGAUGUCGGCUCAUCACAUCCUGGGGCUGUAGUAGGUCCCAAGGGUUGGGCUGUUCGCCCAUUAAAGUGGUACGCGAGCUGGGUUCAGAACGUCGUGAGACAGUUCGGUCCCUAUCCGUCGCAGGCGUAGGAAAUUUGAGAAGACCUGUCCUUAGUACGAGAGGACCGGGAUGGACGUACCUCUGGUGUACCAGUUGUUCUGCCAAGGGCAUGGCUGGGUAGCUAUGUACGGAAUGGAUAAGCGCUGAAAGCAUCUAAGCGCGAAGCCAACUUCAAGAUAAGAUUUCCCACCGUAAGGGUAAGACCCCAGAAAGACUAUCUGGUUGAUAGGUCGAAGGUGUAAGUGCAGCAAUGUAUUUAGCUUAUCGAUACUAAUAGGUCGAGGACUUGACCAAUAUUAUUUGAUGUUCACUU
rnacentral:rRNA from 1 species